GACGAACGCUGGCGGCGUGCCUAAUACAUGCAAGUAGAACGCACAGUUUAUACCGUAGCUUGCUACACCAUAGACUGUGAGUUGCGAACGGGUGAGUAACGCGUAGGUAACCUGCCUGGUAGCGGGGGAUAACUAUUGGAAACGAUAGCUAAUACCGCAUAAUAUUGAUUAUUGCAUGAUAAUUAAUUGAAAGGUGCAAUUGCACCACUACCAGAUGGACCUGCGUUGUAUUAGCUAGUAGGUGAGGUAACGGCUCACAUAGGCGACGAUACAUAGCCGACCGGAGAGGGGGGGCGGCCACCCUGGGAGGGAGACACGCCCCAUACGCCUACGGAAGGCGGCCGGAGGGAAACGUCGGCAAGCGGCGGAAGACUGACCGAACAGCGCCGCAGGAGGAAGGAAGGAUGUCGGAUCGUAAAGCUCGGUUGUAAGAGAAGAACGGGUGUGAGAGUGGAAAGUUCACACUGUGACGGUAACUGACCAGAAAGGGACGGCUAACUACGUG
rnacentral:rRNA from 1 species